rnacentral:rRNA from 1 species
UACGGAGGGUGCGAGCGUUGUCCGGAAUCAUUGGGCGUAAAGGGCGCGUAGGUGGCCCGGUCAGUUCGUGGUGAAAGCGCGGGGCUCAACCCUGCGUCGGCCAUGAAUACUGCCGCGGCUGGAGCACUGUAGAGGCAGGCGGAAUUCCGGGUGUAGCGGUGGAAUGCGUAGAGAUCCGGAAGAACACCGGUGGCGAAGGCGCUGCUCUGGGCCGGUACUGACGCUGAGGAGCGAAAGCGUGGGUAGCAAACAGG